rnacentral:rRNA from 1 species
GAUGAACGCUAGCUACAGGCUUAACACAUGCAAGUCGAGGGGAAACGAUAUUGGAAGCUUGCUUCCGAUAGGCGUCGACCGGCGCACGGGUGAGUAACGCGUAUCCAACCUGCCCAUCACUUGGGGAUAACCUUGCGAAAGUAAGACUAAUACCCAAUGACGUCUCUAGAAGACAUCCGAAAGAGCUUAAAGAUUUAUCGGUGAUGGAUGGGGAUGCGUCUGAUUAGCUUGUUGGCGGGGUAACGGCCCACCAAGGCGACGAUCAGUAGGGGUUCUGAGAGGAAGGUCCCCCAGAUUGGAACUGAGACACGGUCCAAACUCCUACGGGAGGCAGCAGUGAGGAAUAUUGUUCAAUGGGUGAGAGCCUGAACCAGCCAAGUAGCGUGCAGGAAGACGGCCCUUUGGGUUGUAAACUGCUUUUAUAAGGGAAUAAAGUGGGAGUCGUGACUCCUUUUGCAUGUACCUUAUGAAUAAGGACCGGCUAAUUCCGUGCCAGCAGCCGCCGUAA